rnacentral:sRNA from 2 species
UCUGCCCCAUGGGGAAGGAUGAGAAGCUUCGACUAAGGUUCGACUCGAGCGAAGCGAGAGAACGUUGCCGCAGGCAACGGCCCGAAGGGCGAGGCGCUUUAGCGCCGAGUAAUCCUUCCCCCACCACCA